CCUACGGGAGGCUGCAGUGGGGAAUAUUGGACAAUGGGGGGAACCCUGAUCCAGCCAUGCCGCGUGUGUGAAGAAGGCCCUCGGGUUGUAAAGCACUUUCAGCGAGGAAGAACGCCUGGUGGUUAAUACCCAUCAGGAAAGACAUCACUCACAGAAGAAGCACCGGCUAACUCCGUGCCAGCAGCCGCGGUAAUACGGAGGGUGCGAGCGUUAAUCGGAAUUACUGGGCGUAAAGCGCGCGUAGGUGGCUUGAUAAGCCGGUUGUGAAAGCCCCGGGCUCAACCUGGGAACGGCAUCCGGAACUGUCAAGCUAGAGUGCAGGAGAGGAAGGUAGAAUUCCCGGUGUAGCGGUGAAAUGCGUAGAGAUCUGGAGGAAUACCAGUGGCGAAGGCGGCCUUCUGGACUGACACUGACACUGAGGUGCGAAAGCGUGGGUAGCAAACAGGAUUAGAUACCCGAGUAGUC
rnacentral:rRNA from 1 species